AGCUAAAGAAAGAGCUGGCUUGAAAUGGGAUUGUGCAGACCCAGCUUUGGGCCCCGAGGACGCUGGAUUGGGGAUUGUUAUGCUAAUCGCCUGAGAUCAGCAGUUCCCGUGCCCUUCAGAUGGCAGUAGCCCCAAACUGGAAACGGCUGAGACAUCCAUCAAUGAGAGAGCACGGGGCCAUCAAACCGGGGUGCAACCAAAGAAUGGAAAACUCCUCAGCCAGCAAUGAAAGGAAACAAGCUACUCAUCCAAGCCACACCACAACAUGGACCAAUGUCACAACCUCGAUGUGGAGUAAAAGAAGCCAGACUCCAGGGAGUACAUACUUAUGCCUCCAUGUAUAUGAAGUUCAAGAACAACUAAAACUAAUCCAUGGUGAGGGAAGUCAGAAUAGUGGCUGCCAACAGGGGACGGUCUUGACAGGAAGCAAAUAGAGGGAACCUCCUCGGGUGAUGGGAAUUCAUUAUAUCCUGAUCUGGCUGCAGUCACAUGGGUGUCUGUAUAGGGAAAAAUGCACCCGGAGGUACCCUUAAUAUUUGUUCAUAUUAAUGUAUGUCACCUAUGCAUCCGUUAAAUCAUGGAAGUUAAAAAAAAAUUAAUUCAUUUAAGGGAAAAUACUAACUAGCAGUUUAGGGGUUCCGAUGAUAUGGCCAAAAAGCAAAAGCAAACAAGACAAACCCCAGCGACUUAAGGUGGGGGACGUAUCCGCGUUAAGUGCUGGGCAGUGCGGUUUUACUCGGUUUCCCCCUCUCAUAGACGCCGGAUAACAUACAGGACGGACGCCUAGUGAAACCUGAAUUUCAGACGAAUAAACAAAUACUUUUUUCUAGUAUAAGUAUGACCCAUGCGAUAUUUGGGACGUACUUAGGCUAGGACGUUUAUUUGUUUGUUUGUUUGUUUGUUUAGCUUUGACUCGUUGUUUAUCAGAAAUGCGAAUUUAAUCGGGCGUCCUGUGUUUUUAUUUGCCAAAUCUGGCAAGCCUGCCCUCUCGGGGACCCCGCCCCGUCUCGCAGCCCGGUGCCCACCGCAGGCGGGAGCGCCCAGCGCGGUGCAGUCACGCCGGGCGCAGCCUGGCAACGCGGCCACAAAGGGAGCCCGGGAGGCGGAAUCUUUCCACAUGCCUGAUCAAUGGGGGCGCGGAGACGGCGGUGCAAACAGGCCUGAGACAGCCGCACAAAGAGGAGGCCCCUCGGCCGCUCCCGCCUUCCAUUGAUCCGGGCCCUUUGUGGCUCGGACAACGGGGGCGCGGGAGGCGCCUCGCAGGGACUUGGCCGUUCUCGUUAGGGGGAGAAAGCCCAGGAGGACCCCCGCCCCGCCAGCCCACCCCACCGGUUCACCCUCCUGCGGGCUCCAGUUCCCUACUCUUCAGGAUAGGAACAGCUAUCAAUUCUUGGACAUUUGCUGCGCACAGUGUCAGGAGAAGAAAGCAAGCCUGGAGCUUCUGAGGGCCAUCUUGUCACCCUGGGGAGGAGCAUGUGUGCCUGAGAACAAAGCCACAGAAGAAGGCAGAGCCAAGACAUGGCAAGGAUGCCAACUGAACUCUCGGAAUGCCUAGAUCCAGUUGUGAGCCACUAAUAAUAAUUUUUGUUUAUUUGCAUUUGUUCGAAUUCUCUAUUGCUUACAACCAAAGUUUUGACUAAAUACGCCAA